GNUCAUGGCUCAGGAUGAACGCUGGCGGCGUGCCUAACACAUGCAAGUCGAGCGAGAAACUUUUAAAUGAAGCUUCGGUCGAAUUUAAAAGCGGAAAGCGGCGGACGGGUGAGUAACGCGUAGGCAACCUGCCCUUUGCAGAGGGAUAGCAUCUGGAAACGGAUAUUAAUACCUCAUAAUACUAAACUAUCACAUGAUAGAGUAGUCAAAGAUUUAUCGGCAAAGGAUGGG
rnacentral:rRNA from 1 species